UCUUCCGUAGUAUAGUGGUCAGUAUAUGAGCUUGUCACCUGUCAAGUUCGGCAUCGCUCGGGACGCCGGGUUCAAUUCCCGGCGGGAGAG